rnacentral:tRNA from 1 species
GCUGGCGUGACUCAAUGGUAGAGUACCUCACUUGUAAUGAGGCUGUUGGGGGUUCGAUUCCCUCCGCCAGCU